AAGUCGUAACAAGGUUUCCGUAGGUGAACCUGCGGAAGGAUCAUUGAUGAAUACGGCCUCGGGAUGGCCCUAAACCCGACACACCCACACCUGUGAACCUGGCGUCCCUCGGGGCGUCGAAAACCUUUACACCGUAGUGUCAGUCAUGAACGUGAAACAGAAAUCAAACACAA
rnacentral:misc_RNA from 1 species